AGCUUAUGAUCACAGUCUGGCGCCAUCUCCCUCCUCGCCUGGAGUCUGAUCUGUCCCGGCCCAGUGUCCUCCAGGACCCUGGCCCCUCAUGCCUCCUUGCCUGCGCGUGUGCCAUUUCCUCUCUCCAGAGGACCUUUCCUGCCUAGGACUCAUCAUUGUCCCCUCCCUGGGGUCUUUGCUAAGCCAUUAAUAUUGAGGUGAAGAGAGAGGAGAAGAAAUGGAUUAUGCCUGACCGUGGAGAUUAGCAGCCUGCUCAGCGGAGCUGGAGUUCGCCCAAAUCAUCAUCAUCGUCGUGGUGGUCACGGUGAUGGUGGUGGUUAUCGUCUGCCUGCUGAACCACUACAAAGUCUCCACGCGGUCCUUCAUCAACCGCCCGAGCCAGAGCCGGAGGCGGGAGGACGGGCUGCCGCAGGAAGGGUGCCUGUGGCCUUCAGACAGCGCCGCACCGCGGCCGGGCGCCUCGGAGAUCAUGCAUGCCCCGCGGUCCAGGGACAGGUUCACAGCGCCGUCCUUCAUCCAGAGGGAUCGCUUCAGCCGCUUCCAGC
rnacentral:sRNA from 1 species